GAGAGGGAGAGUGCGGCUGACGGUAGCCGGUUUGAUUAUAUCUGAUCGGCAGCUGAGGAAAGUCCCUCCACCUACCGGGUACGCAGCCUCGUUCAUUCGGGGAUGGCGAGAGUCAUGGCUAUGGCACAGAAACGACACGGCCUGAUCUGAGCUAUGAUGCAGAUCCAAACUGCAGAGCAUCGAAGUUCAGGAGUCGAUGGAACGGUGAAUCCCUGCGGGUGCAAGCCGGAACAGGGCAUACAGGCAGCCCGGUGUCUGCCCGGGUUCGGCGCUAAGCUGAAUGCCGCAAUGAACAGAAGGGGGCUUACUCCUCCCACUC
rnacentral:RNase_P_RNA from 1 species